GCUGUGCCUGAACGCCAUGUGAGAUUUACAGCUGCUUUCAGUUCUGCAGCCUUUUAGAAGGAAAAACCCAACCAAUAACAAAGUGGAGGAAAGAAAGUCUUUUGUGUCAGUGGAGACGAUCUCUGUGGGACAGACAUUACCAAACACCAUUAUUCUACUGAAAACUGAGGCAUUCUCUUUAUAGCAUGAACACAUUCGUCUGCCUCUUUAAGAAAUUGCGAUUCUUAAUUUUCUUGAAGAACAUUGAUUCAGAGACUUAACAAGACCAAUGGCCCAGGUGAAUAGCAACAACAGGAUCUAUCCAAGAGAAGUUUACUCUGCCUCUCAUAGCUCUUCAAGUCCCUGUGUUGAUGCAAACCUGACGUAGAACCAUCUUUGUUUGCUCUGAUGAGACAUCUACCAUAAUGAUCCUGGAUCUCCAAUAGCUUUUGAAGUUCAUUUCAGCUCAGGCACAUACCAUAUUUCUGUUCAUAGAGGUGGGGCAAGAAAAGGACUUGUGAUGUUUUCUACUUCAGACCCAAGAAGUCUCAAGUCCAGCUCUGGUUGUUGUUUCCAGUCCUCCACGUCUCCUGUAGUGUAAGAGUGAGUGGGGCAUUUACCUACAGACUUUAAUUUCUCCAGCUGUAAGAGUGAUGUUUGCCUUUAUUAUUUUUUAGGUGUUUGUAGACUCAUGAAUUUAAGGACUUAUUCAUAACCCAGUGACUUUUGUCUACUAUUUGAUAUCCUCCUGCACAUUUUGCCUGUAACAUACCUCUGGAGAUCGAACAGAUUGUCCUAAUUCAUCUAACUAAUUUAAAGCCAUUAGGCCAGAUCUUGAUAUUAAUUUUUUUCUGUGAUAUCUUGAGGUAGAAGGCAUGGAUUUGAAGUUUUAUUACACAUGAAUUUAGAUAUUCAGUUAUCCAUAACAGUAAGAAAUGAUUCACAGGAUCUGGAAUCAUCUAAAUAUAACCAGAAAAAUAACAUUAAUAUGAAGAUCACUUUAAGGAAUUCUUUGUGUUUUUAAAAGCUGAACCAAGUUUUCUUUCCCCAAAAAGAUGGCAUUUAUGUCAUGCAUCAAACACCAGAAACAAUCCAAUCAGUAUAUCCUUUAGCUGAUGGAUACUAAAAAGAAUGAGAGGUUAAUGUUGAGACUUGUAGUGCUGUCAUUGAAAGAAACACAUAUAAACAGCCACAGAACUUAUGAAGCAACAUUUAAGUUUUGUUCCCACUAGAUUUUAGAUGGAAAUUUGCCAUGGCUUGGAUUUAAUUGUCUCUAUUACUAGAGAUUUCAGUAGCCAGAUGGUCAGGGAAAAUCUAAAGUUGCAUGCACACUUUUUAAAGGUUAGUGAUAUGUGGAAAAAGAUACUGUUACUUACACGUUAUCUUUGAAGUGAAGAUAAUGCUCAAUGACACAAGACCAAAACAUGUCUUAAUAUGCAUUAUGCUUUACUGUUAUGCUCAUUAUUGCUGUGCUAAUUCUUCCCAGAAAGGUUUUGAUUUUCUUUCCAGAUGCUGCAAAUUGAACCGGAUUGUUGCCGUCAAGAACUGAUUUUUCAAGUUUCUUAUUUUGUUUUUAACUCUCUCAAGCUCCAGCUUGCCAGAAAUAUUGGGAGUCUCCUGAAACAUGAUUCAGCUGACAAAUAAAUGAACCUGGGUUGCAGGUUGUAAAUUAGAAAUGUAAGAAGCCAUAAUCUUUCUAGAAAUAAAAAAAUACGAGAGCCCAAUAAACAAAUUAUCCAUAUCUAAAUGACAGUAAAGAUUAAGUUAAACUGUCUAAGAAAUACUAUACUAGAGAGUUGUGUUUGUCUAUCAUCUCCCACUUUUGGUCUUUUAAGACAAUUAAAAUCAGAAUGACUGUCCCUGUUGAUUACGCUCAGGUAUUCUCUAUCCUGAGACAAGGACAGAGAAAAUCCUCAAGAGCUGACUGCCUAUAAUGCCCCUAAUCUUAGGAACUUAGCUGAACUCCUUUUAAUGAAUCUCAGAGCUCUUUGCUGUUUAAUUACCUUUGUAACUUUUAACUGAACUUUAUUUGUAAAAACUGUUUCACCGAGAAAGUUUGGAUUAUUUUUUCUUAAAAUGUAUGGAUGGUAUGUAUGUGAGAAAAUGAUCUAUUUUCUGCAGGAAAAAGAAGACUUGAUUGUGUAAGAAACAGCUUUGGUGAUUUGUUUUUUUUUCAAUCAGAACUGUAAAAACAUUUUGUUAUGAAAUGCUGAAAUUCCUCAUGUGAGUUCUACUUCAAGUUUAUUGCUGAUCUCAAGAGGUAGAGUACUCAGGUAGAUGAGAUCAUUCAUGAUGCCCUUGUGAUAAUUGCAAAAUAUGCCCUUCCUCUCCAAGGAAGAGGAGAAAUAGAAUUAUAGAAUGGGAAGUGAUGUGCAACUAAGACACUUUCUACAAAGAAAGCACUCAGCUGAUUUUCUUUAUAUUUUGCCAAGACAUGCAAAGCACAACUCCUGUAAAGUUCUAUAGCUCUUCAUAAUUUAAGAUACAACGGUUUUGAUACAGAGUGAUAUACAGAAAGGUCAAGGUUAA